GACGGAGGGUGCGGGCGUAUUCGUUUUGAUUGGGUGUAAAGGGUAUGUAGGCGGUUACUAAAAAUCUUUGGCAAAAGAGCGGAGUUAUUCCUACGCAUUGUCUUUUUUAAUAGGUAACUUAGAGUUGAGGAUAGGUAGGAGUAAUUCCUUGUGUAGGGGUAGAAUCUUACUAUACAUGGACGAAUGUCAACCGGCGAAGGCAUCUUUCUGGCCUCAACUGACGCUCAGGUACGGGAAGCUUAGGGAG
rnacentral:rRNA from 1 species